GACGAACGCUGGCGGCGUGCCUAAUACAUGCAAGUAGGACGCAGUUGCGAACGGGUGAGUAACGCGUAGGUAACUACCUAUUAGAGGGGGAUAACUAUUGGAAACGAUAGCUAAUACCGCAUACUAGUAGAUGGACCUGCGUUGUAUUAGCUAGUAGGUAGGGUAAUGGCCUACCUAGGCAACGAUACAUUGCCGACCUGGAAGGGGGGUCGGCCCCACUGGGAUUUGGGCACGGGCCAGAAUCCUACGGGAGGCAACAGUAGGGGAUCUUCGGCAAUGGGGGGAACCCUGACCGGGCAACGCCGCGUGAGUGGAGGAGGGUUUCGGGUCGUAAAGCUCUGUUGUUAAGGAAGCGGUACUUAACCAGAAAGGGACGGCUAACUACGUGCCAGCAGCCGCGGUAAUUC
rnacentral:rRNA from 1 species